rnacentral:rRNA from 1 species
UACGUAGGGUGCGAGCGUUGUCCGGAAUUAUUGGGCGUAAAGAGCUCGUAGGCGGUCUGUCGCGUCGAAUGUGAAAAACCCCGGGGGCUCAACUCCGGGCUUGCAUUCGAUACGGGCAGGCUAGAGUUCGGUAGGGGAGUCUGGAAUUCCUGGUGUAGCGGUGAAAUGCGCAGAUAUCAGGAGGAACACCGGUGGCGAAGGCGGGACUCUGGGCCGAUACUGACGCUGAGGAGCGAAAGCGUGGGGAGCGAACAGG